UACGUAGGGCGCAAGCGUUAUCCGGAAUUAUUGGGCGUAAAGGGCUCGUAGGCGGUUUGUCGCGUCGGGAGUGAAAUCCACUGGCUUAACUGGUGGCUUGCUUUCGAUACGGGCAGACUGGAGGUAUGCAGGGGAGAACGGAAUUCCUGGUGUAGCGGUGAAAUGCGCAGAUAUCAGGAGGAACACCGGUGGCGAAGGCGGUUCUCUGGGCAUGUCCUGACGCUGAGGAGCGAAAGUGUGGGGAGCGAACGGG
rnacentral:rRNA from 1 species